rnacentral:sRNA from 1 species
ACUUUCAGCGUUUCUGCAAAGCUAGAGAAGGUAUCUUCUAAUUUAAAUUUCUUUAAGAAUUAUCUAUUGCGUAAUAUACUGUCAACAGGAGGUCAGUUUUAAAGGAAUACUACUGAUAGCCUGAAAGACUGUGGAAAAGAAAUUAUUUUUCCCCUUACACACUGAUAGUUCUUGUAUUUGCAUUCCUGAAAUUCAUAUAUAUUUUUCAAAAAAGAAAACCAUUGGAUUAGCAGCAAGAGAGUUGAAAAUGGCAGAAGUUGGGAAUGACUGCUAUUUCUUUUUUAAUUCCACAUGCAUAAAGGGUUCCCAGUGCCGAUUCCGACACUGUGAAGAAGCCCUUGGCAGUGACACUGUGUGCUCAUUAUGGAGAGAGAGGAAAUGUUUAGAUCCACUUUGCAGAUUUAGACACAUGGAAAUGCAGCAAAACUGCAGCAUUUCAUGCUUCUGGGAAACUCAGCCUCUUGGUUGUGUGAAGAUCAGCUGUAUCUUUUAUCACAGCAAACCUCGAAAUAUCAAUGGAUUAUUUUUGCCACCAAGUAGCAAUAUCACACUACAGAAAGAAAUUCAGGAAGGAAUUCCACUCCAGUCCCAGAGUCAAGAACCUCUGAAACCUCAGGAAAAUAUAUCACGACCCAUCCACCAUCCUUUAGUUUUAAAAACUAAUUUUGAGGAAGAAGAGGAAGUAGAUGAACAAAAUGAUGCUUCUAGUUUAUGGACAAAGACUCCUGAAGAAAUUGAAGAAAAAAGAGCAAUAAAGGAGAUUUGUUAUAAAUCUGGGGAAUACUACAGAUUUCAUACUCCUCCAGAUAUUUUGUCAUCAAAAAGCAUGACCCCUACAGCAGAAAAACAGUUAGAAAAGCCUUUGGAAAAUGGCAGUGAAUUGCAAGAAGGAGAUAGUCUUACAGUUCUGACAAAACUUAGCCAAUAUGAAAGGCAAGGUGAAAUAAAAACAUCAUUGCAUGGGAAACCAAAGACUGACAUUGCUGCUUUUGAAAAUGGAGGAGGUGACUGUUAUGUUCCACAGAGGGUCAUAUUUCUUGGAGUCGAUGAAAGUGAAGCUUUAACUGAAGAGAAAGAAAUCACCAUAUCAAAAUGUUCAAAUACUAAAGUGAAUGAUGUCCAGCCAGUGAAGAAGCCUCAUUUUAAAGGUGUGAAAAAAAGAAAAUGGAUUUAUGAUGAACCAAAGAACUUUCCUAACUCUGGAAUGCAGAGAGCAGUACAGGCCCCAAGACCCCAAAAUAAAAUGAGUUAUCACCGCAAUAAUAAAAAUCGAAAUGCGGAGAAUGCGUCCUAUAUCCACGUUCAAAGAGAUGCUGUCAGGACUGUCACGUUGAAUGCACCUUCCCGCAGCAGGCCCACGCAUGGGUCCUACAAUAAAGUCCAUGCUAACAGGGAACCCAAACCCAACCUCAGUCCAGGUGAGGUCCUUUGUUGAUGUGGUUUACUCUUGUCUGUGGUUUGCAUUCCCAUGGAAUUUCCCGACAGCUUGGCUAAUCUUCACUACUACCUACUCCUCUCUUCUUUUCCCUGGCCAUCACCACCAUAGAAACUAGUGAGAGGAUUUCUUCCAUGUGCAGUCCUGCACAUGAUUUAAAGGAUAUGGAAGAAAACUCAUGUUGUGUGCAGAUGACUUCAGAUCGCACCUCCCUGGAGUUUUUUUCUCAGAGCACUGCACUUUGUUCCUCCAGGACAGCUUCAUGUCACUCAGGAGGACUGUUUUUGAAUGGCUGACAUUUUCUUGUUCCACUAACUGCAUUGUUCAAUUUUCACUGUCAGGCUAGUGCCUUGACUUUUCUGUAGGCCUUCAUGAUUAUUUUCUGAAAGGGUUGGUUUGGGGAUUAACUGCCGUAUUUUUGACAACCUCUCAUCUCUCUCACCAUGGAUAGAUUGCUUCUAAAUCAUUUCAUCAUGUAAUAGGCAAAGUCAUAGUAUAUGUCAGGAAGUACAAGGUUACAGGGGAGAAGAGAACCAAAUCUCUUUAUCUCUUUUUCUUCCUAUGUCUCAGAUGGAUUUUGUUCUUUUGAAGUUGGGUUUCAGUUCUCUAAACUUAACAAAAUGCUGCUCAAUUCUAUAUGAUUUCAUGUUUGUAUUUUUCUAAGUUCACGGUUUAGUUAGUGGAGUUCUGAAUAUUUUGAACUUAUGGAAACAUAAGACUAUAUCUUUCUUAGUUUCUUUUAUAAUUUAAUAAAUUUUUUAAAAAGUUUAUGGGUACACAGUAGGUAUAUAUAUUUCUUUUACAAUUUAAAUAUACAUUAGCUUAUUUAAAUUAUUUUUCUUUUUGCUUUAAAAUAGAAUGAUAUAUGGAUGCGUAUUUGUAAAUAAGGAUAUUCUUAGGUGAAACGUGCUUUUAAUUUUAUUUAUUACUAUUAUCUUAUUUACUGAUACUGUUAUUGUUAUUAUCGUUUUACUGCAACUGGAUGGCUGUGAAGAAUACAAUGAGUACUAGAAGAGCUGCCAAUGUCUAGGUUGGUGUGAAGGUGCCAGAAUUCAUACUCUAUAUUGCUUUUGCACCAUUAGUGCAAAUGUCAACACAAGAGAAAUGCAAAUUAUUGGUAUUAUGGAUCAUGCUUUGAGAACACAGCUGCAUAGUAAUAUUUGAAAACACAAAUAUAACAUUGUUAGAUAGUAGUGGAAAUGUAGAUAUGUCAGAGAAAAAUAAGUAUUUAAGGACCAGGUGAGGAUAUAAAUGCUUCGGCUAUCUGGGGCAGUGAGGUCGCUAUUGCAUUACGCCAAUUACUGCGAACAUGGAAGUCACUUCAUGGAAGGACAUGGGACUUGGGCUGUACCUCAUAGUUUCACGGUUUUAAAAUAAAAGCUCUAAUAAACAUUAGCAGAAUUUAUGCAAAACUAUGAUGAAGUGAUGCAGUCAAAAUUUUUAUUACAUUUAGAUAUCAUACCCUCCUGUAGCUUACCCUUAUUUGAAGCAUUGAACAGCCAAUUAAGAAUCUGUAACCAUGCAACCUACUCAUCUGACAAAGGGCUAAUAUCCAGAAUCUACAGUGAACUCCAACAAAUUUACAAGAAACAAACAAACAACCCCAUCAAAAAGUGGGCAAAGUAUAUGAACAGACACUUCUCAAAAGAAGACAUUUAUGCACCCAAAAGACACAUGAAAAAAUGCUCAUCAUCACUGGCCAUCAGAGAAAUGCAAAUCAAAACCACAACGAGAUACCAUCUCACACCAGUUAGAAUGGCAAUCAUUAAAAAGUCAGGAAACAACAGGUGCUGGAGAGGAUGUGGAGAAAUAGGAAUGCUUUUACACUGUUGGUGGGACUGUAAACUAGUUCAACCAUUGUGGAAGUCAGUGUGGCAAUUUCUCAGGGAUCUAGAACUAGAAAUACCAUUUGACCCAACCAUCCCAUUACUGGGUAUAUACCAAAGGACUAUAAAUCAUGCUGUUAUAAAGACACAUGCACACGUAUGUUUAUUGCGGCACUAUUCACAAUAGCAAAGACUUGGAACCAACCCAAAUGUCCAACAAUGAUAGACUGGAUUAAGAAAAUGUGGCACAUAUACACCAUGGAAUACUAUGCAGCCAUAAAAAAUGAUGAGUUCAUGUCCUUUGUAGGGACAUGGAUGAAACUGGAAAUCAUCAUUCUCAGUAAACUAUCGCAAGGACAAAAAACCAAACACCGCAUGUUCUCACUCAUAGAUGGGAAUUGAACAAUGAGAACACAUGGACACAGGAAAGGGAACAUCACACUCUGGGGACUGUUGUGGGGUGGGGGAAGGGGGAGGGAUAGCAUUAGGAGAUAUCCUAAUGCUAAAUGACGAGUUAAUGGGUGCAGCACACCAGCAUGGCACAUGUAUACAUAUGUAACUAACCUGCACAUUGUGCACAUGUACCCUAAAACUUAAAGUAUAAUAAUAAUAAAAAAAACAAAAAAAC